rnacentral:tRNA from 1 species
GCGCCCGUAGCUCAACUGGAUAGAGCACUGUUUUGACUAAGCAGACGAUGCGGGUCCGAAUCCCGCCGGGCGCG